GUGAGGCUGUGGCAGGCAGCGGUGGUAAAGCGGGGGGUAGAAGCGGUAAUCGGGAUUGCUGUGCGGAAAGCGUGCGUGGACGGGUAGGUAAGUCGGGUGUGAAAGCCCCGGGCGUAACCUGUGAAGGCCAUUCGGGUCUGCAUAGCUAGGGUGCGGAAGAGGGAAGCGGAAUUUCCGGUGUAGCGGUGAAAUGCGUAGAGAUCGGAAGGAACACCAGUGGCGAAAGCGGCUUCCUGGUCCAGCACCGACGUUCAGGCACGAAAGCGUGGGGAGCAAACAGGAUUAGAUACCCCUGUAGUC
rnacentral:rRNA from 1 species